rnacentral:rRNA from 1 species
GUGGGGAAUAUUGGACAAUGGGCGAAAGCCUGAUCCAGCCAUGCCGCGUGUGUGAAGAAGGUCUUCGGAUUGUAAAGCACUUUAAGUUGGGAGGAAGGGCAGUAAGUUAAUACCUUGCUGUUUUGACGUUACCGACAGAAUAAGCACCGGCUAACUUCGUGCCAGCAGCCGCGGUAAUACGAAGGGUGCAAGCGUUAAUCGGAAUUACUGGGCGUAACGCGCGCGUAGGUGGUUUUGUAAGUUGGAGGUGAAAUCCCCGGGCUCAACCUGGGAACUGCCUCCAAAACUGCAUGACUAGAGUACGGUAGAGGGUAGUGGAAUUUCCUGUGUAGCGGUGAAAUGCGUAGAUAUAGGAAGGAACACCAGUGGCGAAGGCGACUACCUGGACUGAUACUGACACUGAGGUGCGAAAGCGUGGGGAGCAAACAGGAUUAGAUACCCCUGUAGUCC